rnacentral:lncRNA from 1 species
CACGCAAAAAAGGUCUAUGUGUAAGAAGGAAUGUAUUACUAUACCCUAGAGUGGGUUUAUAAUUUUAGAACUACGCCCUGUGAUGGGCUUAUAAUAAUUACAUGUUUAGUGUUAUCUGUAUUAAACUUUAUUAUGCAUGUUGAAAAGGUGUUGGCUCUAGAUUUUAUUCUUUUAUUUUUAUUCAUUCAGGCAAAAAGGUCUCUAGGUAAGCCAGUCUGUAAAGAAAAUAUGUGUUUUCAUCCAUUCAACUUUCACUUUCACUCUAAGAGACAAAGAAAAAUAGUAAAAUAGAAAAGUGUGUUGGUUAGUAGGAACCAAACCUAACCUUUUUUUGACAUAUUCAAGACCUAUUGACAGAAAGAUAGGAUAGGAUUGAUUAUGUCAUCGAGAGGAGGUAGCCAAGUAAUUUUGAAUAUUUUAAUAUUUGAAAGGUAAAUUUAUUAGGAAGAUUUAUCGAAAGGUGGGGAGUGCACAAACUGCAAUUAGGGGGGAUAUGGCUAUGUUUAUUAUUAUUUCACAAUUUAUAAAAAUAUCCCAACGAAGCCACAAAGAGAGUAACACACAAAAUUAGUAAAGAAGUUAGAUAUGAUUAAUUACCGUGUUAAUAAGUAGUCUGAAUUGUUGAGGUUGAUAUGGACCAGCUAACUGUGAUAAAAAUAAGUUAGUUUGACGAUGUGAUGUAUGUAUAGAAAAGUGAGGAAAGUAUGUGUUAUUAAAUAGAAUAGUC